CUACGGGUCGCUGCAGUCAAGAAUAUUCCCCAAUGCGCGAAAGCGUGAGGGAGCGACGCCGCGUGCAGGAAGACGCCCUUCGGGGUGUAAACUGCUUUUCUCUGGGACGAAUUUCUGACGGUACCAAAGGAAUAAGGGGCUGCUAACCUCGUGCCAGCAGCAGCGGUAAUACGAGGGCCCCAAGCGUUAUCCGGAUUUAUUGGGCGUAAAGGGUCCGCAGGCGGCCUUGCGCAUCUCCUGUUAAAUCUACCGGCUCAACCGGUAGGCCGCGGGAGAGAUGGCAAGGCUAGAGGCCGGGAGAGGCGAGCGGAAUUGCCGGUGUAGGGGUUAAAUCCGUUAAUAUCGGCAGGAACACCAAAUGCGAAAGCAGCUCGCUGGAACGAGCCUGACGCUCAGGGACGAAAGCGUGGGGAGCGAAUGGGAUUAGAUACCCGUGUAGUC
rnacentral:rRNA from 1 species